rnacentral:lncRNA from 1 species
CAACUCCUCUAUUGCAGCUUAUGGACCAGCAGGUUAUACCUGACUUUAUGAAGCAGUACACCAAAGAUGUGAUUCCAGAUGGUCUCAAAUACAGAUUUAACCCUUAAAGAGUUCUGGAAGAAAUGUUACAACAUCCUUUCCUAUGUGGGGUAAAUUGAAAAAUCCUGAGCCAAUUUCUAAGGACACAGAUCUGCCUGGAAGAAAGCAAGGCCUAAAAUGAUAGAGGAGUCAGACUUUGAAGGCUGUGUAGAGAACCCUGAGCCUUCAGUUGAUCCUGUGGUCAAUGACAUUGUCACCAUAGCUGAGCCCAUAGGCUCGCAGGCAGACAGACAGUGGUGACUUGAGGAAGUGGUGGAGGAACAGUCAGGGAACUGUCUACAGAGGGACUUCAGCAACUUCUGGCUGAGCAACAGAGAACGGCAGCAGAGGAGCUUUCUGAAGAGGAGGGGGAGUAUCAACAAUCAGUACAGCAAUGUUCUUCUUCUGAAAUGAAGGAAAUCCUGAAAAAUGGACAAAGCUACAAACAUUUGUAGAGAAGACCCACCCAGGCAGAGAAAAAGCCAAUCGCUGCAUUCACUUGCUUAAUGACAAUGUCAUGCCAUACUACAGAGUGGUGUUAAAGACAGAAACAGACAUCCUUAAACCAAUAUUUAGUUCUGAAAAGGUUGAGGCCAAGUGAGCUAGAAGAAGGCCCUAGUGGGUUACAGACUCUCCCACGAAGAGAAAGGACACCAGAGAGCCAGCUUCCUGAUGUUCUUAUGGGAGGGAACUCUCCUUCCAAAUAGAAACCACCUUUCAUUUCAUCCUCCCUGCCUGCAAGCCAAAGAUGUCAACUUGAAUGGAAGAGAGCAUCUGUGUGGUCGCCCUAACCUGGCCUGGACCUACAGGGGGCCUGGUCCCAGGAUGAAGAAAGACGGAUGGCGUGGGGCACUGAGAGGAAAGAGGAGGCGUGGAAGGGGCUCCUGGAAGGGGGAUUUGAGGCUGAG